rnacentral:lncRNA from 1 species
CUCCUCCCUUCAGCUUUGGUCCCUCGGGGCGUCUGGGCAGCCUACGCUUUCCGACUGGAAUCAGCCAUUUUACCAAGAAAGUUGGGUUUCUUUUACUGGCAAAUAGUACUUCAAGAGCACAGUCUUAUGUAAGAGCUGCCAGGAACUCGUGGCAUCCCGGGAGCCGCCACAGCUGGACGCUGAUGGAGACCUGAAUGGGAGCUGAUGCCAAGUCCUGCUCCUUCUCGCCAGCCUGGAGCUGAACCAGCACCUGGUGGAGCUGAGGAAGGGGGGACAGCGUGAGCACCCUGUGUCUCCUUCCCCUCCAGCCCACCUCAAGACUCGACCCAUUAUUCUUAUGUCACCUGUCACUGGCAUCGCUAAUGACCCUCUCAUGAGUGUAGCAUUUGAGAUUCUUUUUCAGGUGCAUUCAUA